CCUACGGGAGGCAGCAGUGGGGAAUAUUGGACAAUGGGCGCAAGCCUGAUCCAGCAACGCCGCGUGAAGGAAGAAGGCUUUCGGGUUGUAAACUUCUUUUUACAGGGACGUAAGAAGUGACGGUACCUCAUUAAUAAGCCUCGGCUAACUACGUGCCAGCAGCCGCGGUAAUACGUAGGCGGCAAGCGUUAUCCGGAUUUACUGGGUGUAAAGGGUGAGUAGGCGGGAUGGUAAGUCAGAUGUGAAAGCCUUGGGCUUAACCCGAAGAUUGCAUUUGGAACUAUCAUUCCAGAGUACAGGAGAGGCAAGCGGAAUUCCGUGUGUAGCGGUGAAAUGCGUAGAUAUUAGGAAGAACACCAGUGGCGAAGGCGGCUUUCUGGACUGCAACUGACGCUGAGGCACGAAAGCGUGGGGAGCAAACAGGAUUAGAUACCCUUGUAGUC
rnacentral:rRNA from 1 species